GACGAACGCUGGCGGCGUGCUUAACACAUGCAAGUCGAACGGAAAGGCCCUGCUUUUGUGGGGUGCUCGAGUGGCGAACGGGUGAGUAACACGUGAGUAACCUGCCCUUGACUUUGGGAUAACUUCAGGAAACUGGGGCUAAUACCGGAUAGGAGCUCCUGCUGCAUGGUGGGGGUUGGAAAGUUUCGGCGGUUGGGGAUGGACUCGCGGCUUAUCAGCUUGUUGGUGGGGUAGUGGCUUACCAAGGCUUUGACGGGUAGCCGGCCUGAGAGGGUGACCGGCCACAUAGGGACUGGGAUGCGGGCAGGACUCAUACGUGGGGCAGGGGUGGGAAAUAGUGCACAACGGGCGGAAGGCGGAAGCAGCAACGCCGGGUGCGGGAUGACGGCCUUCGGGUAGUAAACCGCUUUCGCCUGUAACGAGGCGUGAGUGACGGUAAUGGAUAAAGAAGCACCGGCUAACUACGU
rnacentral:rRNA from 1 species